rnacentral:rRNA from 1 species
GGGACUACGGUCGCAAGACUAAAACUCAAAGGAAUUGACGGGGACCCGCACAAGCGGUGGAGCAUGUGGUUUAAUUCGAUGCAACGCGAAAAACCUUACCACUUCUUGACAUGGAGAUUAUAUCCUUCUUAACGGAAGGGCGCAGUUCGGCUGGAUCUCACACAGGUGCUGCAUGGCUGUCGUCAGCUCGUGUCGUGAGAUGUUGGGUUAAGUCCCGCAACGAGCGUAACCCUCAUCCUUAGUUGCCAACGGGUUAAGCCGGGCACUUUAAGGAAACUGCCAGUGAUAAACUGGAGGAAGGUGGGGAUGAUGUCAAAUCAGCACGGCCCUUAUGGGGUGGGCUACACACGUGCUACAAUGGUGACUACAAUAGGUUGCAAUACCGCAAGGUUUAGCUAAUCCAUAAAAGUUGUCUCAGUUCGGAUUGUUCUCUGAAACUCGAGAGCAUGAAGUCGGAAUCGCUAGUAAUCGUGGAUCAUCACGCCACGGUGAAUACGUUCUCGGGUCUUGUACACACUGCCCGUCACGCCAUGGGAAUUGGCUUAACUCGAAGCUGGUGUGCUAACCGAA